rnacentral:misc_RNA from 1 species
CGAUGACGAGGUCAGGUCCCGACACGAUGAACAACGGCGAACCGAUCGCCGGAAUUGAAAGACGAUUUUUGAACAAGGCGGGCAUCGACAUCGGAAAAUCCUCUUCCGCAGAAUGAAACACGCGCGAGCACCAAGGCCGCAGCACUUGCCACGGUCUUAGGGGCUAUAGCCAUUUCUUGAAAGAGGCUUGCGUUUACUGGCAGACGGCCCGGGUAACGAAAUUUUCUGUCCGGCACGCGCCCUGGCCUGAAAAAUAUGAUUUUGCCGAGCAUUUCUGGGUGGAUUCGAUAUCGACGCUCCUGCCCUCGGCGUAGCCUUUCUCCUUGCA